UUCUCAGCCAUUUACCUGCCACGUGGCUUGGACAAGGCUUUCAACGUCACCCGGUGCCGGCCUGACUACAUCUCAUUUUCCAGGGAUCAGUGUCUGCAUGUUGUGUUUCUCCUACAGAUUUCUCACCAGUCGAAGGCACCGGCGCAUUCAUUCAUUCGGACGCCCGUCCCAUCUGGGGUAGAUAUAUGCGAACUGCCUUCAGGAAGCUGAAGAGAGACAAGUAGCUGGAAAGUACAACCACAGCGUUCUCCAAGUGGAGUUUCAUUUCGAGAACUAGCAUGUCUGCGUGGCGAUCAGAUGGAUGAAACGAAUAAGAGAGAGAAAAUGCCAAGGAGAUGUGGCUGCACAGGAGCAGAGCUGGGGAGGAGGAACCAGCGACGGGGAGGAGCAGAGGCCCCGAAGUCUGUGGCUGAACUGCGCCCUUACACUGAAUACCAGGGGUUAAUGUGCCAUAAUAAAAUCAGUGUGAACACUGCCAAAGAGGCCUGAGCAGACCCUCCAGUAAGUAAUUAAUUCUGGCUGCUUUCCGCUCUCCAGCUUUCAUCAUUCUUAAUGUUACCUAAUUGUAAAAUUAUUCUUCAAACUUUCCUACUAUAAAGGAAGAAAAUGCCCAGAUCUAGCUCGCUUUUCUUGAGGGCAUGGGUGCCUCCUGCGUCUUGGUAGAAG